GAAUCAGGUGAAGGAUGGUGAGGAGGAAAACUUACAGGCCCUGUUCCAGAAAGCAACAAAACAAGUCUGCGGGGCUGGAGGAGGCUGAGAAGGUCUGAGACUGAGCAGAGAGAGAAUUUGAAGAAUAUGCUGGUACUGUCCACCAUCCUGAACCAAAGGCAUUAAAGCUGGCAGAAAAGAAUAUUAAUGGCGAUGAUAAAACCAUGUCACAGAAACGUGGUGGCUCUGUGGGGCAUAAAUUCAUGCAAAAGCACUUUCUGAAGCUGCUGUAGGCUGACAGUGUGCUCCCCCCACACACACUGCAUCUUUGAUUUCAUCAGCAACAAAAGAACAGCCAGCCGGCUCUGCAAGCAAGGUACACUGAGCGUAACAAACCUGACGAGAGAGUGGCUGGCACAACUAGCACAUCUUUACACCCUUCUUGACAACGCAUGGCUGAAGAGGUACCCUUACUGCUCCUGCUAAGGAACAAAGCACAGCGUGAACUUGGCCUUUACAAGACAUCAGAGACUCUACCCAGCAGCUCCAUCUGAAGGUACACAGCCAUGGUUUCCUUGAUUCAGUUGCUCACUGCAUUCCCUGUUUACUCUCUGGCUAACUUGUAUGUAUGCUCAAGCAAACAAAGUGACAGAAAUAUGUAAUACAAGCAACCUUCCCCAUAGCAACAGAUGGAACAAAGCUGCUUUCUGCAGUGCUUCCUUCCCACAGGCUGGACCCUCCUCUUCCCUGAGGUUUGGGGUACCCCAAUGAAGCAGAAGAGCUGCUGGGCAAAGGGAAAGGGCAAACUUUCUUCCUUACUCUCACUGAGGGCAUCCACCCACAUUUCUCUUCCCAGCUCAGCCACUGAUUUUCAUCACGUUUUUCAGAAGUCAGUCUCAAUUUCUCUCCAGCUUCAGAUUGAACAGAAAUAAGAUGUAUUCAUUUUGUCAGGAGGGGACAGAUGGAUGAACUGACAGGCAAACAGGAAAGCUACAUGGUCCCAGCAGUUUUGUGCUCUUAAGAAACACUAAGGACCUGAGAAGAAGUUCAACCCAGAGAACUGAAAACAGCUCUUUCCUCUGCCCGAAACACUUUGGACGUACAGUUUGCACUGCCUGUAUUUUACUCGUUAUGGUGAGGACUUGAUUCCAAACUGACCUCAAUUUUCACUUAAUUAGCAACCUCGUUUGCAGUUCCUUUGAAACAUUUUUACCUAAUUCCUGGGGAUUUAGCCUCAUUCUGUUUCUCAUUAGAAUGAAACAAGCAUUAUUUUGAGGAAGAUGUUUCCCCUUUUGACAAAUGAUAAGAAAUCACACAAUCCUCCAGAUUUUAAAGAUGAACUAUAGAAAGCCUGGCAAUAGGACCAGGACCCUAAAAAUCUCUGCAUUAAUAAUACCCGACGCACACAGAAGGAGAAGAAUAAAGCAAUACUUCCAGAAGUGCUGGUUUUCUGUUCAGCAAAGAGACUGGUAGCCAGCUGGGAAUUCUCAAACCCCGAUUUUUCCCCACAGACCUCCAGCAAAGAGUGAAAACUUGCAGUGAUUGCAACUUCCUUCUGCUUUUCUUCAGUGAAAGAAGGAGAAAGAUUUGUUCGUAGCGUACAAGAAAUGCUGGGUUAAAAACAGUUUGUUCCUUCAGACCAUGAAAUCAGUGCCUGGGUUCAAACAAAUGCUGGGAUAACAGAGCAUUUCAAAGCAAACUUGCUAGCUUCCUUACCCUAAGACAGACCUUCAGGCUCUGUUUGCAGUUUGGUUAUAUUUGGCUGUGCAGAAAUAGCAGAUACAGGGAGGAGCACGAUGCAGUUUCCAUGUUCCCUCACACCUCUGUGCAGAGGCCAGUGGCUGGUUUUGCAUUACUGGCAUGGAAAGAUGGAAGGCUGUCGCCCUUAGAGUGGCACCGACACCUGCAGGGACACGGGGAAAGGAGAGGGCCAGCAGAUCUGGUUAGAGAAGGCCAGCACUGGCAACAGGCUGAAGGGCACAAACACACUUCAGUCUGUGCUUGGCCAGCAUGCAUGGGACUCAGGCAAUAAGGUUCCUGCAAGCAUUUGAGGAUUAUUUCCCAAUUUCUCUGAGUUUCUCUAUAGACGACAAGUUAACACAGAACAAGUUAUCACCUUGCUCCCAGCAACCAUACACUUGCUUUCUCCACCUAAGCUCAAGAAGAUCCCUGUUCAGCCAAGCCGGCCUUCUGCCCCACCUGCAUGACUUUCAGCCUUUUGGAAUUGCAGGCUCCUGUGUUCUGAGAAGAUGGCACUUAGAAAGCAACCAGCACUGACAGAAAUGCCUUCAACAGCAGUUUCCCAGGGGACCUUACUAACUGUUCCCUGAACAGACUAAAAACUGCUCUCCUCAUAUCCAGGGUUGAGGUUUUGGUGUCAGUUUUUCUUCUAUCACCAAAGAUAUUAAAUUCAACCACUUUACGGUCACUGUGGCCAAGAUGGCCGCCGAUUGCCACUUCACACACCAGAUGCUCACAAACAACAGAUCUAGGAGGGCACUUUUCCUCGUUAUCUCCCUUAGUAUCUUUCCCAGGAAGUUGUCAUCAGUGUGUUUUAGGAAUUUCCUGGACCUGUUUGUGUCAGCUGUGUGGUGUUCCCACUUAGCAUCUGGCAAGUCCCCCUUAAGGGGCUGAAGUCCCCCAUAGGACAAGAGCAGUAAAUCCAGAUGUCUCUCUUACUUCCUUAAAGAAUAUUUCACUGGUGUCAUCAUCCUGGCUGGGUGGUCUGUAGUAGACUCUCACAACAACAUCUCCUUUAUAUGCUACUCCCUUAGCCCUUACCCUGAGGAUCUCAGCCAUGCCAUUGCCAACAGACAGCUCCAUACAUGUAAGCAGUACAUGCAGUAUACACCACGUGCCAAACUGGAGGCUGAGGAGAGGUUUGAAGGACUGGCAACCUGGCCUCUCUGCCUGAGAGAGCAUCAGGAAACCAUGAAGGGGAAAUACCCACAGGAGUCAUUUCUCUCCUUAUCUCCUAUUACUCAGAGUCCAGCCUUGUUCUCCAGCACUUGGAAAGCCCAAGUCCUGAAAGGCCUUGUGAUGACACUUAAAAAAAUACCUCUGCUACAGAAGCCUCUGCAGUGCUAUCAGCCUGAUGGGAUCCCAGAAGAGCAGCCACAGCCACAGCCACCCAGCCUUGGAAGAGUGUCAUCCUAAGAGCCAGCCGAAGAGUUCUCCUACCCAAAAAAGGCUCCAGGUCUGGCACAGGAGAACUACCACUUAAAUACUACUUGGAAAGGGCUUUCUUAAAACGUAAAUUACGGAUACUCUUUGCUGGUUCGAUAAAGAAUGCACCAUUGCAGCCACCACUGUGUCUCUUCUCAAGAUGCUCCAUGGUUUUAUCCAGGGGUGUUUCUCUUUUUAGAAGUUUGGAGUGUGAAUAUUCCGCCUCCACUUGGACAGAGGCGAGCCUAAAAUGAUUUUAUUUGAAUCUUUUUAUUUGGCUUUGACUGACAGGCUUCCUCUGUGCAUUUUGUCAUAGAUCCACAGAUUCACACCAGCAGUAAAUAAUGUAUGGUUCAAUUUUGCAGCAAACUUCCCUCUCACUCACAUCCCCAUGUGGAGCAGCAUGUGCGGAGAUUUGGGACUGAAAAUUCACUUUCCACACUCCAAACUCAUUCACCUGUUUUUCCUGCUGCCACAAGAGGCCAGUGAUUCUAUUAUUUCCAGUCUCCAGUGUUUCACCAGCACUGCACUGACACGGCUCCGCAGGCACAUCUGUUAGACACCAUCUGGAGGCUAAAAAUCAUAACUACAGACUGGUUUCCUGAACCUCCUGAAAGCUGUCACACAGGAGCAGUGCACAGCUUCCUAUUAACUCGAGAUCAAAUCUCAGCCAUCUCUUCCACCACCCUUCACGGAUGUAUCAUUCAUCAGGCAUCUCUGGCUCAGAGGCAGGAACACCCCACACACCUGCACUGACUGCAGACUAUGGAAGUCUCUGUCUUGCCAAAGGAGCUGUUUGAUUGUCACAUCCUCAGAGAUGCUCAGCAUCUAGCAUUUCUCAUUUUCCCUUCUGGGCAGCCUGUAUAAGAAUUCCAUUCCUAUCCCACCCUGGGCACAGAGCUGGUUUAUCUGCUAGCUCAUCGUAUCGAACAGGACGGCAUGUCACAUUGCAGAAAGGUCAGUUCUAAAAGAUUUCUGCAAUCUCUUCUCUCAGCUCUAUGCUACUGAACUUAAGCAAGAUCUACCAAUAGGUUUGCAACAGCAGCGGGAGACCGUGAGGGUCCUAAGAGAGACCUAAUCAUCCUCUGAAAUCAUUUCAGUAAAAUACACUGUGGAGGAAGUCUGCAUGAGCACAAAGAGAAGCAUUAAAUUUUCAUCAGCAUGAGUUCAGGCUGAAUAAAAUCAGGCCUCCCAAAUGCACUGUGAUAAAACAUUUACACUGCACCGCGGUGUUCCUUCCAAAAACAGAAAAGCAUUUAGAAGCAUGGCAUUAGAAAAUUCAGCAUUGCUACGUGAGGUGGAGGCUCUGCGAGGCUUCAACUUUUCCUGACCCCUUCUCCUCCCAUAGGAAAGAAAGAAAUACGGACACCACAAGGGCUGGGCAAGACUAUGGGGGCGGGAAGGGGCAGGAGAUACAGGCUCAAGAAAGGAAAGGGAAGGGCAUUUGUGAUGCUGCCAAUGCCAGAAUGUACCCCGUCCUUCUGUGCUUCUUACUUCUCAGCAAAGCAGAGAGAGUGCUAUAAAAAGAUCCAGAAACACGAACCCACAUGAGCAGCGCUCACUGCAAGAGCACCGCUGGCAUCCAUCGCUCGCUGGAAGGGCCCCCAAGGAACCACCAGAUUAGAUAAAAUGCACCAGAUUAGAUUAGGUGCAAGGAUCUUUCUAAAUUAUCGAGAACAUUUUGAAAAGAAUCAGCAUUUUUAAUCUAUCCUGAAGAAACAUGUCAUCUGCGACCUUACAUCUCCAGCACUUGUUAUUGGACUCCUGAAAUUCAGUGAAUAAAACAGAACCAAGGCCGCAUUCCAACGAAGGAUUUUAAGGACAUGACCAUUUCCUUUAGUUUCAAAGUAAAAAUUCAGCCUGUUAGCCCAUCUGUUUGGUGAGCAGGAAGUCGAGCUGGAGUGGUGUUUAUGUGCUCCAUGGCUACAUAACAAUUAACAAUAAAUAGCUCUGAGCCUUUGACGUCUGAAAGUUGAAGAAAUUGCAAAAAAAAUUAAUGUAUCUGAUAGGGAUGCAGCAUAAAAUUGCUGUAUUUUAAGGCAGCUGUAUGGAGCCUGUUUGCUUGAAUGGAUGUUGUUUUAGUGGUAUUUUCUGCGUAAGCUCUUAAUGUUGAGGUUCCGGGCCCAAUAGUGGUUACGUGCUCACUAUGGUGUCCUUUGCUGUUGCAACACUGUUCACAGUUAAAUAUAACUACAGUGGACAAAAUGCCAGCAAAAUAUAAGCUUUCAUGCUCAGAAGCUGUUUUACAUCGGGAAAAAGAAGAUGGCACUGAUUUGUUGGUGGGGAGAAGAAGAAGAACAGGGCCCUAGACCUGAUUCCUACCAACCUUACCCUGGGUAUAACCAUUUAGAUCUAUGCAAAGGGAAAACCAAAGAGCUGUAAGAUAUCUUCUGGAUCAAAACAGCAGCGGAUCACACUUUGCACAGAGGCAAGCGGGACACGAAUCCUUCAUGCAUUCAGUUGCCUCCCACCUUUGCAUGCAUUAGCAUGACGGAGAAAAAGCAUAUUAACAUCUUCUUUCUUCUUGCUUCGCUGUUUCAGAGAAGACACAAUACAGAUGUAUCAGAAUCCCAAGCUGGACUGUAUUCAUACACAAAAUAUAUAGCAUAACAAAGCAGUACAACUUCUUCUGGGAAACAGAUGUACCUUGUGAUAUUUAUUCUAAUGUAUUUGAAGGGAAGAGAUGGGGAGAGCUAUUGGUAUGUAUAGCAGGUACUGACUGAUAUUUAAUACCUUUGGCAUUCCCAUAUGAGCCUGGAAAUAACUGCCACUGCUAUUAGUUGCUGUCACUGAUGACAGCAUGUAAAUGACUAUCUAAUCUGCAUAUACAAUUGAGUAAUUAGAUGCCAUAUGUAAGAGCAGUUAUUUAUAGGUGCAGAAUCAGAGCCCAGUCCUUGUAACGUAUUAUCUCACAAGCCAGAUCCUCUUGGACACGGGUACAGACCUUUAUUACUGAGUGCCUCAUCUUAGAUUUUAUUUUUUUUUUUUAAUAUCACAAUUAAUAAUUCAUGCUAUCGAUUUUCCACUGUGGAGCACUGAAUCAGCCCUGCCUGCAUCUGACCUGCUGACGGGAAGCUAGAGCUGCUGUCUGCAAAACGCCUGUCAACGUAAGGGGCUGCUUGUGCACAAAAGCAGCCAGGAAACCAAGCGGGUCCCGCUGAAGGCCCAUCCUGCUCAGUGAGGGCUCGAUCUGUUCUUAUGAACAGCUGACCUAGAUUCUCUGCCUGAAUGAAAGUCUUAUCCAGCAUUGAGGCUGUUCAGAGAGCCAGAAAUUCAUGUACCGUACAUUGAGAGAGGGGAAAAACAGUGGAUACGUUAAGGGAAAGCAGCAGCAUCAGGCGGGCCGUCCUGUCAGCAGCCACCCCCUGCCCCCCUCCCCCUCCUCCCUGAGACCCCCAGAGGAGCCGUGGAGAUGAGAAUCUCACAUCUAAUUAACCACCUCUCCAAUCAGAUCUGGUUCAACAACUGCGAACAUCACGAGGCAAUUUGGUUUCCCUCACCACCUCAUUUUUUCACGCCGCUAACAUGCAAACUGGGUCAGUAUUAUUCCUACUGAAACGCUCACCACGGGUGUUAUUUUUAGAAAGCCAUGUGAUCGUCUGACUUUUAUUUAUGAAAGCACCGAAAGAUCCACUGUCUGUUUUCCUGUCUGUCAUAUUUGGGGCGGUUUGCUGUUUCAGUUCUCUGGGUUUGUUGCUGAAAUCUGUGGCCUCUUUUUAAAAGGCAGAGUCAGACUAAAUCAGGAGGCCUUGCAGUUCACACGCCUUAGCAGGCUCUGCAACAAAGCACAUGCGGCACGAGCAAAGCAAACCAGACAAGUGCACUGAGAGGCUAUGAAAGGCAAGGCAGGGAUGCAGGCAGCGAGAGACAAGGAGAUGGAGCAGAAAUAGGAGGUCUUUUGUGCCAACCUACUGAUUGCUUUACCAGCCAACCUUGCAAUCCCAUAUUAAUUGGCACUGCUUCUAUCACGUUCCCUUGAAUCCUUUAUUAAUCAAGUCUGUAUCGGCUGUCUAGCUGUAUCUGAGAUCAAUCACCAAAUUGCCCCGCUGUCCUGUUAAUACUUUUAAAAAUGAUUCUCCAGAUCUGCACAAUUUAAAAGCGUCUCAAGGCAUUUAAAAUGCCUGGCUCAACAGCCAAGAAACCUGGUUAGUCUUCCUAAAAUCGCUGAUGUCAUCUAUUAUUAUUGCUAAUUUAAGGCAUCUGGCUUUAGCAGGCAUUAUUUAGCACAUCCUGGACUGCUGUAAGGUGAAGAGGAUUGUAGUGCAUUGCUAUAAGCCUCUGUUCUCUGGGUGUUUUUUUAAUGCAUUGGCACAGCUGCCCAGGGAGGUGGGGGAGUCACUGUCCCUGGAGGUGCUCAACAGCCAUGGAGAUGUGGCACUGAGGGACAUGGUCAGUGGGCAUGGUGGCAUGGGUUGGGGUUGGACUGGGUGAGCUUAGAGGUCUUUGGCACCCUUAAUCACUCUAUGAUUCCGUGAGUCUACGAUUUUUCUCUCAUUAAUAAAUAUGAAAUUUUAUUUAACACUUUUGGUUUUGUUUUUUCCCCUGCAGUAUUGAAAUGUCUAUUGACAGUUCCCAUCUGGUGAUGGUAUCUGGAAACAUUAUCAUUUCUCAGAGCUAAUCUAAUAUACUUUGACCAUUACCCUUACUGCUCCUAAUUCUAUGGACCAAAUACUUAUUUGCAGGUCUUUUGGUCUGCUUUGCCUUACUGACCUUUUGCACUUUUGGCAAUUGCUUUAUAUUCAUUACUUACAUCUUUCUUUUUUUUUCCCCUGUGCUUUAUGAGUAAGAAUUUGCCUUUGCUUUAUUUUUUGUUACUGCUUUCACUCCACGUAGCUUGACUGAAUUUAAAUCAGCACAGCCCUCCCUGAGCUUUGUUGCUUUUUGAUCAUAAACUAAAACAUUCUGAGUCAGCUCUUGCUUUUCAUGCCUAUUUACACUUUAAGGUCUUCCUGUCACCUGAAUCAUCUCAAACAUGUUUUCAUCAUCAGGAAAACAGCUAAUUAAAAUAUCAAGACUAUGCAGUCCUGUGCACUGGCCUUUGUUCACAUGUAGCUUGUUUACAUGCUGUAACCAUAAUAAGCACCUGCAUCUAUGUGACCACCAUACUUCAGCGCCUCUUCAUCAGCCUAAAGUAAUACCACGCAGAAAAGGUUAUGACACGUUUGAAACUAGGAAAUUCCUGUGUAUACCUUUUUAGAACUCUCCAGGUCAAUUUAGCACUAGCAGCUGCUCAGAUGGGAAGCUUCCAUGGCAGGGACACCACAGACAUGGCAGUCCAAGGGCUGGCACUUUGCUCUGCAGAGACUUGCAGAGACAGGUACCAAUCACUGCGCCUUCUUGCAUUAUAUGUUGGACCAUUCAUCCACAAGAACUCAAAACUACUGUCUCCCUUGGAAGCAAAAAUCAUGCAAAUUUUCAUAGAAUCAUAGAAUCAAUAAGGUUGGAAAAGUUCUCAAAGAUCAUCCAGUCCACCCAUCCAUCUGCCACCAAUACUGCCCACAAAACGAUAGCCCUAAUUCUGAACUUUUCUCAUGCCUCCCUACUGUUACCUCCAGUGACAUUUACAUUGGCAUUAAACAAAACUUCCCACCACACUACAGGAGUACAGCUAGCUGUAGUGAACAAAUUGAGCUCUUCCUGAUCCUUUCCUGUUUGUGAAGCCCAACUCCUCACAAAAGCUUACAGAUAAUGAAAUUAUGUUCUCUUCCAGGGUCCUCAGUUCAUUUUGUCCUCCUCUCACUGGAUUUUGCUCUAAACAAGCGGCCAUUUGUUACAUCUUUCCACUUUUCCUUCUUAAUUUUUAAUAAUAAAAGAGAAGACAAGAACUUCUGAUAUUUUUCACUGUUAGAUUCCAGAAAUCAACAUCAAUUGUUACUAUUUGCCCAUUUCUUCCCCAACCAGCAGCAUCAGCCCUUUCUCUUCACUGUCAGGACAGGGACUUAGAAGAACUAUGUGGUGUUUGGAAUGAAAGCGAGGGGAAUCAGGCAGCUAUUUCUAUCACCAGGAUGUCUCCAACACCGAGUUCAAAAUUAAAGCUCUGAAUUUCCCCAGAUUCUCUAAGUGAGGAAUCAUCAUGCAACAACCAGUCUGCACGUACGCCUACAAAGCAGAAACCACAUGAUGAAUAUAGCCAACAGAGUACUGCAAGCCCCACAGUUAGACACUUCCACCAACACGCUGCGUACGCUCAAAUUUGGAAAAACUGCUUUCAUCUGUCCUUUCUAAUUCAUCCCAAGCUCUAGAGCUUGCAUCAUAGGCGGCCUGCCUUCCUGAGCUAGCUGGCAGUACUGUGUUGGUGACUCCUCCAAAAAGAAACAACUUCAAAAGAAAAGAUGUAGGAUGAAAGAUGAAUGGGCCAGAUCCAAUUCAAAUUCUAAACUACAAAUAACAUUUCCUUCUCAAGUAAAGGCCAAGCUUUCACGGAGCAUUAGGCAUGCACUGUGGAUAAGGUUGCACAAGCUGCGCCCUCCACGCGAUGAAUGAGAAAAUGCAGACAUCUGGCUAUGCCAUCCUGAGCACAGCACAGCUUGGGAACUCAGAUCUGUGUUUCAGGAGUGGUGAGUAAGAAUCACAUGCAGGACGCUCCGGGGUGUUUUAAGAACAUGGGACAUACCCUGUGAACUUGCUGAAACAGCCUGGCCGGCACAAGCUGGCUGGUUGGCUGUCCAUGCAUCACUCUGUGAUGCCACAUCAUUCUAACACUAAACCCAGGAAAACCAAUGGGUUUGGAUAAAAAUCAUAACGAUGACCUCUUUUACCUCAGGCUUUCCAUUCCUUUUCCCUACGCUCUCACAUAAGACUCACAUAUGGGUCACUUCCACUACCUAU